rnacentral:lncRNA from 1 species
CCUGGCUGCUGACGAGUGGGAUGUCGCCCUUCUAAGCUGCACUGCUCUGCCUAAUAUCUGCUUCUUAUCUACUGCUUACACAGGGCCAUACAGAUGGAUGGAAAGAUAUGGUGCUUAUCAGACAGAUGAAGAUGGGAUCCAGAGAAGAGUAGGAAAGGAAAUGAGGAGGAGGCUGCAAGGCUGGCAUCCAGCCCUGAGUCAGAAAGCAGUACCACUGUGAAAGGAUGGUGGCAGCAUGAUCUCCUGAUGUCCAGGGAAACAUCUGUUCUCCAGUCACUCAGAAGAAUAUAGUUGAAAGAGGCACAAGUCUGCUGAUUAAGUUAACAUCCAGGAACACCUGAGAUCAGAAGAGAGGGGGAAAGCAUUAUCUCUAAGUACCUAGGCCAUCAGGAUGGACCUGAAGUACAGCAGAGUGGAACAAGCAACGGCAGAUAUACUAAACUAAAUGACUCAGAAAAAGAAAGCUAAAGAAAGAAAAAAAAAGAAGAAGGAAGAGAGGAAGGGAGGGAGGAAGGGAAGGACAAAUAUGAGGAACAAGAAAAAGUACAUUUUAAGUCAACUUGGGAGGAGAAAGAAGCAAGGGAACAAGCAAUUGAGAAGAAACAGGGAUGAAGAAUCAAAAUUAAUCUCCACAUGUAAUUUAGGUAAAGGAAUUUCACUCCAUUCAUUUUAUAAAAUGAAUAAAGCUGCCAUGCAAAUACUGGUGCAAUUAAAUCAUAUUUCUCUGUUGAAG